CCAGGCCGCACCAUGAUCGUAUUUGUAUAUUGUAAUAUGAUUACAUACCGGAUCAAAGUAGUCGCGGGAAAGUUAUCGACCAAGUGGUCAUCUGCUGGCAAGUGUAGGAAGUAGCAGUUACAAUGAAUACCAGACGCGAUCAUCUCGAGCUUCUCCUAUAAAGAUAAGUUAUCGCGAAUUAUUGAAAACCGAAGUGGCUAUAACCCUCAAUGAAGGUCAAGUAGAAGACAUAUUUAUCAGAAUGUUUUCCAUUGUUUUUGGCGUCUCCAGUCCCUUCCCGAAGUGGGUCCCAUAUAUUACAUAGCAGCCAAUUAACGUAACCUAAGUCCAUUUUUUCAUGUUCAAAAUAAAUAAUCUAUUAAUUUAAUUGAUACGCUUCGGAAUAAUAUCAGCUAUAUACGCUAAGUAACUGGACAAGCUAGUGCAGCCGAGCAUAGAAUCGUUUUGAAAGUAAAAUUAAUCGUGCGAAACCUAUCCUUGCACAUGAGUCAUAAAUAUCUCGCAAUUAGAGUGUCAUAAUUGAAUCAUAGGGUGCGCGUCAGUGUGGCGUACAUGGUAAAAUCAAUUUCUACGUCUGACCAAACUGAUGAAAUAGGAAAUGAAAACUAAAAUAUUAAAUCGCUAAUUUUUACCUUUGAUUCUCUUUUUGUACACGAUUAGAAUUAAUAACUUCACGGUGUUGCGUAGGUAACGGCACUUCCGCAGCCUCGUAAUCCGAAGGAAACGAUGUUAUUAGUUUACACGGUAUGACGAAUUUGAUUUUCCACACACGGAAUUUCCAUAACCGUUAUGCCAACGCGAGAUAACAAUGCAAAUAAUUAACCACCAAUAAAGCAUUUCCGUGCAGGUUGUGUAACGGAGUGCGUUUGACCAUGCGACUUAUGUACAUCACGAGAAAAUCGCUUCACGUGAACGUUCAAGGUUCGAUUAAAAUCAUCCACCUUUCGCUCCAAUGUAAUUGAUGCAUGAUGAUGUUUCUUAUGGUCCGGGAUCGGAUUGGCCUACAGAAAUAUCUUUCAUGGUUCUUUUUCAAACAAAAAAUCAUCCUCAAUUCAAUAUAGCUAUCUAUAUAAUCGGAGAGUUAUCGUUGCAACAGCUGCCGUGCAUUCUCAUUACUAUUUCAUCGGCGCUGUUCAUCGCUUCUUUGUACACCGCAUCCUAGAAGUAGACAAAAUUAAUCUAAAGAAACGGUAAAAAAAUGCGAUAAUAAUUUGAAAACGUUCAUUGCUAAAAUUACCUUUAAAUGUCCCCAAAAAUAAAAAUCCAACGGAUUCAAAUCGGGUGACCGUGGGGGACUUGUACACCGCAUCCUAGAAGUGGACAAAAUUAAUCUAAAGAAACGGUAAAAAAAUGCGAUAAUAAUUUGAAAAUGUUCAUUGCUAAAAUUACCUUUAAAUGUCCCCAAAAAUAAAAAUCCAACGGAUUCAAAUCGGAUGACCGUGGGGGCCACGGCACAGGUCCGCCACGGCCGAUCCAUCUGUCUCGAAAGGUUUCGUCCAGAUGGACGCGAACUUCUGUGGCGAAAUGGGCGGGAGCCCCGUCCAUUUGAUAAAACAUGUUCUGCCGGAACUCCAAAGGAAUGCAUUCCAAAAGCUCUGGCAGAACAUGUUUUAAAAAAAAUUUUAUACGCUGAACAGUCCAACCUGUUAGGAAGGAUGUACGGCCCAACGAUAAAAUUGCCACAAAUUCCGGCCCAUGCCAUUAACCGAGAAGCGAACCUGCGCAUGGUGUGACCGAAGCGGAACACCCUUCUCUUGCGAAGAGUGCUUCAGCUGUCCAUAAAAUGUAUUUGCAGAACGAUGGAUUUCGCGCUACUUCUCGCAACAGCCACCUUGAAUAUUGAAUCCGUUGAUCAAAGUCAGUGUCCAGUAAUUCCUGCACACGUAUGAAUUUGUAUGGGUGCAGAGAAUUGUCCUGUAGGAUACGGUGCACGGUAGUACUGCUAACAGAAAUAGAAAAAGAAAUACAUACAAAUGCAUAAACAUUUACAGAUCGAGAACAUCUUUUUUUACGUAAUUAAAAAUCAUGGUUAUUUUAA